rnacentral:rRNA from 1 species
UCCUNUGGCUUAACUGGGGGCUUGCGGUGGGUACGGGCCGGCUUGAGUGCGGUAGGGGAGGCUGGAACUCCUGGUGUAGCGGUGGAAUGCGCAGAUAUCAGGAAGAACACCGGUGGCGAAGGCGGGUCUCUGGGCCGUUACUGAUGCUGAGGAGCGAAAGCGUGGGGAGCGAACAGGAUUAGAUACCCUGGUAGUCCACGCCGUAAACGUUGGGCACUAGGUGUGGGGGGCCUUUUCCGGGUUUUNCGCGCCGUAGCUAACGCAUUAAGUGCCCCGCCUGGGGAGUACGGCCGCAAGGCUAAAACUCAAAGGAAUUGACGGGGGCCCGCACAAGCGGCGGAGCAUGCGGAUUAAUUCGAUGCAACGCGAAGAACCUUACCAAGGCUUGACAUGUGCCGGUCGGCUCCGGAGACGGGGUUUCCUCCUUGUGGGGCCGGUUCACAGGUGGUGCAUGGUUGUCGUCAGCUCGUGUCGUGAGAUGUUGGGUUAAGUCCCGCAACGAGCGCAACCCUUGUCUCGUGUUGCCAGCACGUUGUGGUGGGGACUCGCGGGAGACUGCCGGGGUCAACUCGGAGGAAGGUGGGGAUGACGUCAAAUCAUCAUGCCCCUUAUGUCUUGGGCUUCACGCAUGCUACAAUGGCCGGUACAGAGGGCUGCGAUACUGCGAGGUGGAGCGAAUCCCUUAAAGCCGGUCUCAGUUCGGAUCGGUGUCUGCAACUCGACACCGUGAAGUUGGAGUCGCUAGUAAUCGCAGAUCAGCAACGCUGCGGUGAAUACGUUCUCGGGCCUUGUACACACCGCCCGUCACGUCAUGAAAGUCGGCAACACCCGAAGCCCGUGGCCU